rnacentral:rRNA from 1 species
GAAAAGCACUUGAAAAGAGAGUUAAAAGCACGUGAAACCGUUGAAAGGGAAACGCGCUCGGCUAGCAAUGUGCCUCGAUGGUUCAGCCAGUCGGCCGGUGGAGGUCGCGUCUGUCGGAUCCGAACGGACCGCGGGCGUGGCGGUUCGCCGGCCAGCUGCGGUGCACUCUAUCGGGGUACGCGUCAGCGUCGGUUUGCACCGGGUGACAAGGCCGUUGGAAGGUAGCUCGGAGCUUGCUCCGAGUGUUAUAGCCUACUGCGCUGGGCCUGGUGCAGACCGAGGAGAGAGAGGAUCGCUGCAGUGCAUGCCGCAAGGCUAGCUGCCUGCCGUUCGGUUUGCUUCACGAGCUGAGGACUGCACGCAGUGUUCGGUUCGGCGGGGUGACCGAGCGGUGGAGCGGUAUAAAUGCGCUUAGGACGCUGGCGUCCAAAUGGCCGUGCGCGACCCGUCUUGAAACACGG